rnacentral:rRNA from 1 species
AGAGCACUCCUAGCGGGAGGCAGCAGUGGGGAAUCUUGGACAAUGGGGCAACCCUGAUCCAGCCAUGCCGCGUGAGUGAUGAAGGCCUUAGGGUCGUAAAGCUCUUUCGCCUGUGAAGAUAAUGACGGUAGCAGGUAAAGAAACCCCGGCUAACUCCGUGCCAGCAGCCGCGGUAAUACGGAGGGUGCGAGCGUUAAUCGGAAUUACUGGGCGUAAAGCGCGCGUAGGCGGCUUGAUAAGCCGGUUGUGAAAGCCCCGGGCUCAACCUGGGAACGGCAUCCGGAACUGUCAGGCUAGAGUGCAGGAGAGGAAGGUAGAAUUCCCGGUGUAGCGGUGAAAUGCGUAGAGAUCGGGAGGAAUACCAGUGGCGAAGGCGGCCUUCUGGACUGACACUGACGCUGAGGUGCGAAAGCGUGGGUAGCAAACAGGAUUAGAUACCCUGGUAA